UAGCGACAUCGAUCGUUGAUGACGUCAGUUUGAGUUUCGUCGGCCUCGGCGAACUUCCUGGCUGAGCUCACUGCAGUAACUUGCCAUUUUUGAAGAAUAAGACAGGAACUUUCUGAACAUUUUGUACGAACCUCCAUUUAGGUGUUAUCGAAAAGACAAUUGUCACUACAUUGGAUUUCAGACUCAGUGGCUUUUCAUGAGCUAAUCAAAGAAAAUGAGUCUGAGGUUAGAACCCCUACAUCCUGGCCCAAGUGCUGUCAACUCAGAUGUGGAACGGGCUGCUGUCGCUCGGUCUAAGUCAAGCAAUAAAUGCUGUCGCUGCUGUGGACUCACUAGGUUUCUCAGAUUAGACAAGUCAUGGUUUAUCAAGGAUCCAUGUGGUAUCAUCUGUGCUGUGAUGACCUAUCUAUUGAUUGGUUACGGUCAGUUUGCUGUCAACGUGGUGCUGCUAUUGCCAUCAGGUAUCCAACCCUAUACAGUCAUCCAUGGAUUCAUCUUCAAUUUGUUUGCAAUCUUUGCUGCAGUCUCUCACGCCAGAUCUAUGCUCACAGACCCAGUAAGUGACAAUUUCUUUUGCUAGAAUUCUUUUUUAAUGAUUGUGGUGGUGGUGAUUAGUUUACCCGAUUGCUAAGAAAGUGUGAAUACUUGUAAGCAAGCAACCAUAUGACUUAAGGCAUAAGGUCCUCUCUGCGGGACCAGGGCCCUGUUGCAUAAAAGUUACUAUUUAUGGUAACUUUGCCAUCCAAUGGUAACUACUAUGGUAACAAUGCUCAUCAGCCAAUCAAAAUCAAGGAUUCUAUGACAGAUACCAUUGCAUGGCAAAGUUACCAUAAUGGUAACUUUUAUGCAAUGGGGCUCUGGUAAUGAGGAUAAAUGCCUUACCAAAGAGCGCUAGCGCACCAAGUUGGAUUUGAAUCUCGGUCACCAGAAUAUGAAACUCCUGCUCUUCCGAUUGAGCUAUUACGCUUCUUCUGUGGUUCAUGUACAGCAAUUAUGAAUAGUGCAUCUGCAUAUGCCUUUGUCAGGAUUUUUACCAGAUAUUAUGAUCAGAUCUGGGCUUACUCACAUACAAAGAAUGCACAAUCUCCACUCCCUGGGGAGGUUUCCAGCUACAAGUCGAAGUCAUUCAAGUAACAAAGUAAGGCUUAUCACGAUCUACAACGUAGGAGGAAAGUAUAGGAUUCGUAGAAAACCACUCUCAAGGUAAUGUUAAGAAAUAUAAUGCAGGCUGGAUAAUGUUUCAUAAAAAACUGUCGUCAGUUAUUUUCUCAAGCAAUUAUUUCAGUUAGGCAGAUGAGAUGCAAUGAUAUCAGAAACCUAUAUCAAAGAUCUGUCAUUGAAAAUCACUGACAAAUAGCUUCAUGAAACAUCCUUGUGCGAAAAGCAAUGUUUGGAGCUAGUCACACAAAUGGCAUAUCAUGGCAAUAAAUCAAGGAAAAAUGAUGAUCAUGGUGACUCUUUUACAUAUGGUAACUACCAUUGUAGCCUCGAUUUUGAUUUCCUGCAGAAUCCUGUUCCCAUCAUGGUACAGUGUAUUUCAGUUACCAUGUAUUACAUAAUGAAGCGAUUUUAAUGACAAGGGCACUAAAAAAUAAAAAAAAUAUGUAUAUCACACUGCUUCUGAAAAAGUACACUGUUCAAAUUCACCAGUAGUAAGGCUGUAGGAUUACUUUAUUUCUUCAAAGUCAAUGUUGCCUGCUAAAACAUCUGUUCCUGUCCAGAUAUUUCCAUUAGGUGUAUAAUCACUUCACCAAGAGUUCUAACUGUAGUGAAAAUCAAGAAUACAGUACUUCAUGUUCUGAUGAUUUUCAGUGCUUUGUGUCCGUACAUACAUCUUCUUUUGUCUUUCUUUACCUGAUAUUACAAAGUUGAAGAAAGAAAGAGAAAGAAAGAUGUCACACUGGAGAAAGUCUAAUUUGCAAUACAAGUGUAUGAUGUAGCCUUUAUGCAACAACAACAAUCAUUCCAUUUUAAUUCAAGUAUUUAUUUCCAAUUCAAUUUAAAAAAAUUUGUAAAUAAAUACUUGAAUUGAAAUUGAGUGUUUGAUAAGUAGUACCAAUCAUUUGUCAUUUCAUAACUGAAGUGGAUACAAUAUAGACAUUGUUAUUAUUAUUAAUUUUAUUUUUUAACAAUUUCCCAACCCAAGAGUUUGUCCACAUUCCCGCAUUGUCGUAAUAAAAAAGAUAUGAACAAUGGAGUUCAAGAAAAUUUACAGGUACAAUUUGAGUUCCUGUUGUGUCAACCGUCUAAUUUAGUUUUAUACUCUAGCUCAGUGUGAACUUCACUGAAGUAGUUCAUGUCUCUGAAAGAAGAUCUUUUGAUUAACAGAUGGAGAAGGCCUUGGAAACACAUUACACUGUCUGGCAAAGCGGAGCAUCAAGGAGAUCACCCAAAUGGGUUUGUCAUGGAAAACACAACAAGUUUUUUUGUUUAAUAACUUCAGUGAACUAGAUGGCCUUUAAUUGGAAAUCUGUCCCCUUGUGGUCCAUGUCGGUAUGAAAUGAAAAUCAAUAUAGAGUAAAGCUGUCUUGAGCAUCCUUUUGUUUUGAAGAUGAGCAAUAGACAGCAUGCCGCUUCUGUUUAAUUGCCGCUUGAUAUCAUUCUAGACACAGCGUUGAAUUGAGGGGGUCAGAUUGAAGUUCAUUUAUGACCAAGGAAUUUGUCAGUAAUUUAGCACUUAAUGAGUGCAAUUAUGUAGCCUACAUAGAUCUGUAGGAUAUCAAAUACUACUUGAUUGCUUACAUGUUUGCAUACCUUUGAUUUGCCGCCAGCAAUUAAACUCCGUGAAAAAUAUGCUUGUACUAUUAAUCAGAACCAACUGGAUUUUUCCAAGUUAUAGCUUUCGUCAGGUCACUUUAUGAACUAUGAUUUUCCCUUGUUAACUAUUGUUUAUUAAAUAUAAAAUUUGAGCUUUAGAAUCAUCUGUGACCUGCAAAGAAAGACUAUUUGACUGGGCAAACAAAAAGUUUUAGCAGUGAGGUUACGCUUUUAAUAUCUCUCUUCGGAAUGUCCCUCAUUUGUGUACUACUGCAAAUAUCUAAAUACAACUUAAAGAAGAAAUACUUUUAA